GAUGAACGCUGGCGGCGUGCCUAAUACAUGCAAGUCGAGCGAACAGACGAGGAGCUUGCUCCUCUGACGUUAGCGGCGGACGGGUGAGUAACACGUGGAUAACCUACCUAUAAGACUGGGAUAACUUCGGGAAGCCGGAGCUAAUACCGGAUAAUAUAUUGAACCGCAUGGUUCAAUAGUGAAAGACGGUUUUGCUGUCACUUAUAGAUGGAUCCGCGCCGCAUUAGCUAGUUGGUAAGGUAACGGCUUACCAAGGCAACGAUGCGUAGCCGACCUGAGAGGGUGAUCGGCCACACUGGAACUGAGACACGGUCCAGACUCCUACGGAAGGCAGCAGUAGGGAAUCUUCCGCAAUGGGCGAAAGCCUGACGGAGCAACGCCGCGUGAGUGAUGAAGGUCUUCGGAUCGUAAAACUCUGUUAUUAGGGAAGAACAAAUGUGUAAGUAACUAUGCACGUCUUGACGGUACCUAAUCAGAAAGCCACGGCUAACUACGUG
rnacentral:rRNA from 1 species